rnacentral:rRNA from 1 species
AACGAACGCUGGCGGCAGGCCUAACACAUGCAAGUCGAGCGAGACCUUCGGGUCUAGCGGCGGACGGGUGAGUAACGCGUGGGAACGUGCCCUUUUCUGCGGAAUAGCCUCGGGAAACUGAGCGUAAUACCGCAUACGCCCUUUGGGGGAAAGAUUUAUCGGAAAAGGAUCGGCCCGCGUUGGAUUAGGUAGUUGGUGGGGUAAUGGCCUACCAAGCCUACGAUCCUAGCUGGUUUGAGAGGAUGAUCAGCCACACUGGGACUGAGACACGGCCCAGACUCCUACGGGAGGCAGCAGUGGGGAAUCUUAGACAAUGGGGGCAACCCUGAUCUAGCCAUGCCGCGUGAGUGAUGAAGGCCUUAGGGUUGUAAAGCUCUUUCAGCUGGGAAGAUAAUGACGGUACCAGCAGAAGAAGCCCCGGCUAACUCCGUG